ACGCUGGCGGCACGCCUAACACAUGCAAGUCGAACGAAGUAGCAAUACUUAGUGGCAGACGGGUGAGUAACAUGUAGGUAUCUGCCCUUUGGCCUGGAAUAACACGAGGAAACUUGUGCUAAUACCGGAUAAGUCUUUACGGAGAAAGCUUUAUGCACCAUUGGAUGAGCCUGCACUUGAUUAGUUUGUUGGUAGGGUAAUGGCCUACCAAGACUGUGAUCAAUAGCUGAUUUGAGAGGAUGAUCAGCCACAUUGGGACUGAGACACGGCCCAAACUCCUACGGGAGGCAGCAGUGGGGAAUCUUGCACAAUGGAGGAAACUCUGAUGCAGCGAUGCCGCGUGAGUGAAGAAGGCCUUUGGGUUGUAAAGCUCUUUCGUCGGGGAAGAAAAUGACUGUACCCGAAUAAGAAGGUCCGGCUAACUUCGUGCCAGCAGCCGCGGUAAUACGAAGGGACCUAGCGUAGUUCGGAAUUACUGGGCUUAAAGAGUUCGUAGGUGGUUGAAAAAGUUGGUGGUGAAAUCCCAGAGCUUAACUCUGGAACUGCCAUCAAAACUUUUCAGCUAGAGUAUGAUAGAGGAAAGCAGAAUUUCUAGUGUAGAGGUGAAAUUCGUAGAUAUUAGAAAGAAUACCAAUUGCGAAGGCAGCUUUCUGGAUCAUAACUGACACUGAGGAACGAAAGCAUGGGUAGCGAAGAGGAUUAGAUACCCUCGUAGUCCAUGCCGUAAACGAUGUGUGUUAGACGUUGGAAAUUUAUUUUCAGUGUCGCAGCGAAAGCGAUAAACACACCGCCUGGGGAGUACGACCGC
rnacentral:rRNA from 1 species